AACGAACGCUGGCGGCAGGCUUAACACAUGCAAGUCGAACGCAUGCCUUCGGGCAUGAGUGGCAGACGGGUGAGUAACGCGUGGGAACCUACCCCUUGGUACGGGAUAGCUCCGGGAAACUGGAGAUAAUACCGUAUGUGUCCUGAGGGACAAAGAUUCAUCGCCAAGGGAUGGGCCCGCGUCGGAUUAGCUAGUUGGUGGGGUAACGGCCUACCAAGGCGACGAUCCGUAGCUGGUCUAAGAGGAUGAUCAGCCACAUUGGGACUGAGACACGGCCCAAACUCCUACGGGAGGCAGCAGUGGGGAAUAUUGGACAAUGGGCGCAAGCCUGAUCCAGCCAUGCCGCGUGAGUGAUGAAGGCCCUAGGGUUGUAAAGCUCUUUCACCGGUGACGAUAAUGACGGUAACCGGAGUAGAAGCCCCGGCUAACUUCGUG
rnacentral:rRNA from 1 species